rnacentral:rRNA from 1 species
GAUUAAGUUAAUAAGGGCGCACGGUGAAUGCCUUGGCACUAGGAGCCGAUGAAGGACGGGACGAACACCGAUAUGCUUCGGGGAGCUGUAAGCAAGCUGAUCCGGAGAUUUCCGAAUGGGGAAACCCACUGCCAGUAAUGAGGCAGUAUCCAUUUCUGAAUCCAUAGGGAAUGGAAGGCAUACCCGGGGAACUGAAACAUCUAAGUACCCGGAGGAAGAGAAAGAAAAAUCGAUUCCCCCAGUAGCGGCGAGCGAAACGGGAAGAGCCCAAACCGAAAGGCUUGCCUUUCGGGGUUGUAGGACACUCAAAGUGGAGUGACAAAGGAACGGCGUAGACGAAGCGGCCUGGAAAGGCCGGCCAAAGAAGGUAACAGCCCUGUAGUUGAAACGUCGCUCCCUCCCGAGUGGAUCCUGAGUACGGCGGGACACGAGAAAUCCCGUCGGAAUCCGGGAGGACCAUCUCCCAAGGCUAAAUACUCCCUAGUGACC